AGCGAACGCUGGCGGCAGGCUUAACACAUGCAAGUCGAACGCCCCGCAAGGGGAGUGGCAGACGGGUGAGUAACACGUGGGAACGUACCCUUUGGUUCGGAAUAACUUGGGGAAACUCAAGCUAAUACCGGAUAAGCCCUUAUGGGGAAAGGUUUACUGCCGAAGGAUCGGCCCGCGUCUGAUUAGCUAGUUGGUGAGGUAAUGGCUCACCAAGGCGACGAUCAGUAGCUGGUCGGAGAGGAUGAUCAGCCACACGGGGACUGAGACACGGCCCGGUCUCCCACGGGGGGCGGCAGUGGGGAAUAUUGGACAAGGGGGGCAACCCUGAGCCAGCCAUGCGGGGUGAGUGAUGAGGCCCUUGGGUUUAAAAAGCUCUUUCCCGGGGACGAUAAUGCCGGUACCGGGAGAAAAGGCCCCGUCUAAUUUCGGGCCAGCCCCCGCAGUAA
rnacentral:rRNA from 1 species